rnacentral:rRNA from 1 species
GGGCAGGUUGAAGGUUGGGUAACACUAACUGGAGGACCGAACCGACUAAUGUUGAAAAAUUAGCGGAUGACUUGUGGCUGGGGGUGAAAGGCCAAUCAAACCGGGAGAUAGCUGGUUCUCCCCGAAAGCUAUUUAGGUAGCGCCUCGUGAAUUCAUCUCCGGGGGUAGAGCACUGUUUCGGCAAGGGGGUCAUCCCGACUUACCAACCCGAUGCAAACUGCGAAUACCGGAGAAUGUUAUCACGGGAGACACACGGCGGGUGCUAACGUCCGUCGUGAAGAGGGAAACAACCCAGACCGCCAGCUAAGGUCCCAAAGUCAUGGUUAAGUGGGAAACGAUGUGGGAAGGCCCAGACAGCCAGGAUGUUGGCUUAGAAGCAGCCAUCAUUUAAAGAAAGCGUAAUAGCUCACUGGUCGAGUCGGCCUGCGCGGAAGAUGUAACGGGG